GACAGAGGGUGCAAACGUUGGUCGGAAUUACUGGGCGUAAAGCGCGUGUAGGCUGCUCUGUGUGUCGGAUGUGAAAGCCUCGGGCUCAACCUGGGAAGUGCACUCGAAACUACAGAGCUGGAGUCUCGGAGAGGGUCGCGGAAUUCUCGGUGUAGAGGUGAAAUUCGUAGAUAUCGAGAGGAACACCGGUGGCGAAGGCGGCGACCUGGACGAUGACUGACGCUGAGACGCGAAAGCGUGGGGAGCAAACAGG
rnacentral:rRNA from 1 species